CCUACGGGUGGCAGCAGUGAGGAAUAUUGGUCAAUGGGCGGAAGCCUGAACCAGCCAAGUAGCGUGCAGGAUGACGGCCCUACGGGUUGUAAACUGCUUUUAUACGGGAAUAACGCGCCUUACGUGUAGGGCUUUGCAUGUACCGUAUGAAUAAGGACCGGCUAAUUCCGUGCCAGCAGCCGCGGUAAUACGGAAGGUCCGGGCGUUAUCCGGAUUUUUUGGGUUUAAAGGGAGCGGAGGCCGCAUGUUAAGCGUGCUGUGAAAUGUCCGGGCUCAACCCCGGCCUUGCAGCGGAAACUGGCGUGCUUGAGUGCGCGGAAAGCAGGCGGAAUUCGUGGUGUAGCGGUGAAAUGCUUAGAUAUGACGAAGAACCCCGAUUGCGAAGGCAGCUUGCUGCAGCGGAACUGACGCUGAUGCUCGAAAGCGCGGGUAUCGAACAGGAUUAGAUACCCUGGUAGUC
rnacentral:rRNA from 1 species